GACGAACGCUGGCGGCGUGCCUAAUACAUGCAAGUAGAACGCUGAAGGAGGAGCUUGCUUCUCUGGAUGAGUUGCGAACGGGUGAGUAACGCGUAGGUAACCUGCCUGGUAGCGAGGGAUAACUAUUGGAAACGAUAGCUAAUACCGCAUAAGAGUAGAUGUUGCAUGACAUUUGCUUAAAAGGUGCAAUUGCAUCACUACCAGAUGGACCUGCGUUGUAUUAGCUAGUUGGUGGGGUAACGGCUCACCAAGGCGACGAUACAUAGCCGACCUGAGAGGGUGAGCGGCCACACUGGGACUGAGACACGGCCCAGACGCCUACGGGAGGCAGCAGUAGGGAAUCUUCGGCAAUGGACGGAAGUCUGACCGAGCAACGCCGCGUGAGUGAAGAAGGGUUUCGGAUCGUAAAGCUCUGUUGUAAGAGAAGAACGAGUGUGAGAGUGGAAAGUUCACACUGUGACGGUAUCUUACCAGAAAGGGACGGCUAACUACGUG
rnacentral:rRNA from 1 species